UUUGUACAGAAUAGUAUACGUCUAAUUUGAAUUAAGAUAUUUUCCUAUUUAAUUUAAUUUUAUCUGGAGUAUUUUGUCAUAAAUGACAUUUCUGAACGUUUUUCUCUAAGUUAAAAUGACAAACCUUUUUUUGAUUGUGGUAAAUUCAAAUCAGUUGUCAAAAAUAACGAACGAGUCGCCGUCAGAAACUAUUAUCAAGGUGAGUUUUAGUUAUUUUAGUGUUUUUAUUGCUAAUCAUAGAUUUCCAACACAUAAAAUGUAAAGGAGAACAGUUAUUCUAAUAAUUUUGAUAGAUAAAUAACUUGGAAAAUGCGAUCACAAUUAACGGAAGAGCUAGACGAAUAUUGGCUUGGAUUCCUGCACUAAAUUCGUCACUAGACUCGUCAUUUGAAAGGCUCGACAUUCUAGGCAGCCCAGUUUUGCUAGCCAACCCAGUGGGUGAGGUAGAAUCAAACGCCCUUUCUGAUGUGGAACAAGAAAAUACUCAAGUGCCCCUCACACCAAUUCUGAACGCCGUAUUUCUGAGCCCUACGCAAUGCAACUAAGAUGCAAUCUCGUCAAUUGUUUCUAUGGGUUCUGUGCCAUCUGUUCAACCUUCUACUUCCAUGGCAACACACCUUUGAGGACACGUGGGCAAAGAAAACUUACUGGGCCUUCUAUU